UACAGAGGGGGCAAGCGUUGUUCGGAAUUACUGGGCGUAAAGGGCGCGUAGGCGGCCUUCUAAGUCGAACGUGAAAUCCCCGGGCUCAACCCGGGAACUGCGUCCGAUACUGGAAGGCUUGAAUCCGGGAGAGGGAUGCGGAAUUCCAGGUGUAGCGGUGAAAUGCGCAGAGUAUCAGGAGGAACGACCGAUUGCGAAGGC
rnacentral:rRNA from 1 species